rnacentral:rRNA from 1 species
GAUUAACGCUGGCGGCGUGCCUAACACAUGCAAGUCGAACGAGGUAGCAAUACCUAGUGGCAGACGGGUGAGUAACGCGUGGUCAACCUACCGUUGAGUGGGGGAUAACUAGCCGAAAGGUUAGCUAAUACCGCAUACGUCUCCGAGUGGCAUCACUUGGCGAUAAAAGGAGCAAUCCGCUCGAUGACGGGACCGCGUCCCAUUAGCUAGAUGGUGGGGUAACGGCCUACCAUGGCACCGAUGGGUAGCUGGUUUGAGAGAGCGACCAGCCACACUGGGACUGAGAAACGGCCCAGACUCCUACGGGAGGCAGCAGUGAGGAAUUUCCGCAAUGGGCGCAAGCCUGACGGAGCGACGCCGCGUGUGGGAAGAAGGCCUUCGGUCGU